rnacentral:rRNA from 1 species
UACGUAGGGUGCAAGCGUUAAUCGGAAUUACUGGGCGUAAAGCGUGCGCAGGCGGUUUUGUAAGUCUGUCGUGAAAGCCCCGGGCUCAACCUGGGAAUUGCGAUGGAGACUGCAAGGCUUGAAUCUGGCAGAGGGGGGUAGAAUUCCACGUGUAGCAGUGAAAUGCGUAGAGAUGUGGAGGAACACCGAUGGCGAAGGCAGGUCUCUGGGCUGACACUGACGCUCAUGCACGAAAGCGUGGGGGAGCAAACAGG